CAAAAAAGGGUUGCUGUGAAUCAGAGGAGGAGUGGACAAAGUUCUGGAAAGGGUAUAACUGGUGCAAGGCAACCUCCAAAGAUAAGUCAAAAUCCUCCCAUGAAUACACGCCCAAAUCCUGGUAAAGGAGGCCCUAAAGCUUCCUCGACAAAAUUUCGGCAACCAACGCCAGGAAAACGUCAGGAUGGUAACGCUUAUGGAAAUAAUCGCAAUUCCCAGUCGAAUCUCCUGCGGAAAAACGGCGGUGCACAGAGUACAAAGAAGGGUAGACAAACCCCGAAGCUGGACCCCAAGAGAAGUGAAAGCCCAAAAAUUAAACAGACAAGCCGCAAAGGAGGCCCUAAUGGUCCCGCGGAAGGCAACAAUGGAGGCUACAACGGAGCAGGCAGAGCACCUGGCAACAAUGGGCAGAAUGGGGGCCGCAAUGGAGGAGGAAGGACACCUGGCAACAAUGGAGGCCCCAACGGAGGGAGCAGAGCACCUGGCAACAAUGGCCAGAAUGGAGGCCGCAACGGAGGGGGCAAAACACCGGGCAAGAAUGGCUACAAUGUAGGCCCCAAUGGAGGAGGAAAAUCACCUGGCAAACCUUAUUCCGGAGCAGGAAACAGACCACCUGGAGGAGGCGGAGGAGGAAAUUACCCUGGCGCAGGAAAUGGGGCAGGAUAUAGAAACCCGCCAAAAGAAGACAGUGAAGAAGAUGACUCUGAAGAAGAAAGCAAUAAUCGACGCCGCAAUGGAGGAGAUAAUAUACCUGGCAACAAUGGCUACAAUGGAGGCCGCAAUGGAGGAGGAAGAACACCUGGCAACAAUGGAGGCCCUAACGGAGGGAGCAGAGCACCUGGCAACAAUGGCCAGAAUGGAGGCCGCAACGGAGGGGGCACAACACCUGGCAAGAAUGGCUACAAUGUAGGCCCCAAUGGAGGAGGAAAAUCACCUGGCAAACCUUAUUCCGGAGCAGGAAACAGACCACCUGGGGGAGGCGGAGGAGGAAAUUACCCUGGCGCAGGAAAUGGGGCAGGAUAUAGAAACCCGCCAAAAGAAGACAGUGAAGAAGAUGACUCUGAAGAAGAAAGCAAUAAUCGACGCCGCAAUGGAGGAGAUAAUAUACCUGGCAACAAUGGCUACAAUGGAGGCCGCAAUGGAGGAGGAAGAACACCUGGCCAAAAUGGAGGCCGUAACGGAGGGGACACAACACCUGGUAAGAAUGGCCAGUAUGGAGGCCCCAAUGGAGGAGGAAAAUCACCUGGCAAACCUUAUUCCGGAGCAGGAAACAGACCGGCUGGGGGAGGCGGAGGAGGAAAUUACCAAGGCGGAGGAAAUGGGGCAGGAUAUAGAAACCAGAAAGAAGACAGUGAAGAAGAUGACUCGAGAGAAGAUGACAGUCGUGAAUCAGGCAGCUAUGGAGGAAAAAAGAAAAACCCUUAUCAAACAGGCCCCGAUAGAACAAAUCCGCGAGCGCCUGCACCUACGCCAGAUAGUAGCAAUCGGACUGGCAACGGAAAAGAUGGGACGGGACAGAAUCCAUAUCGAACUCCUAGCCGCCCGAAGACUCCAUCAGGAAAGGUGCCUAUAGAUACCAACACAGGACAAACGGUCCCUCCAAACGGGGUACUUGAAGAUCCUGUAACCCGGAGACAGGAGGUCGUGCCGCCAGGCAGUGAAGUGGUCACAAACCAGAAAACUGGGGAGCAAGUGGUUGUGCCUCCGGAUAAACAGGUCGACCCCUUGACGGGCCAUACAUAUCUGCCGAACCACACCGCACCGAAACCGGUAAUUACUGACGAGGGCGCUUGCCCGCAAGCUCAGGGAAACCAUGAAGAUCCAAAGGUACCGCCGCACAACGAGUACGAAAACCAUAAUCGACCGCCGCCAGCACCAGUGCACCAAAACCAGAACGAACCGCCGCCAGUACCAGGAUACCAAAACCAGAAUGGGCCACAAUUGGACCAAUACGGAAGACCGAUAGUACCACCGCAGGACGAGUACCAAAACCAGAAUGGACCACAAUUCGACCAAUACGGAAGACCGAUAGCACCACCGCGGGACGAGCACCAAAACCAGAAUGGACCACAAUAUGACCAAUACGGAAGACCGAUAGCACCACCGCGGGACGAGUACCAAAACCAGAAUGGACCACAAUAUGACCAAUACGGAAGACCGAUAGCACCACCGCGGGACGACUAUCCGAACAGGCCACAGUUGGACCAAUACGGACGACCGAUACCGCCGCGAUAUGAGGACGCGAGGGAUCAAAGGAACGGGCGGUAUGAAGAUGGUGAAAAUGAAUACAGCGAGGAAGAUGAGGACACGGCUGAAGAUGAACCUGACUUUGAUCCUGAUACGAUCGAUCCAAGAGACUUAAGUCCACAAGAUCUCGCAAUUUGGAAACAGGCGAAAAAGGAGAAAGAUGCAAGGCUGCGGGCCGAAGCUGAGGAGGAAAGACGUAACCAACGGUAUCCAAACAAUAAUUUAGGAUACCAGAACAAUAAUCAAGGAUACCAGAACAAUAAUCAAGGAUACCAGAACAAUAAUCAGCGGCAUCAGAACGAUGAUCGAGAGUAUGCGGGAAACGAGUACGGUCGCCAGGGCGAUAAUAGAGUCGUUGAUAAUCAAGGAGGGUAUCAGCGCAAUAACCGAGAUUACUAACGCAAUGAGAGAGUUUUCGUUGAUCUAUAUUGCUACCGCGAUCAGGAUAAUCUUGAGAGAGAGUGAAACCAACGUUAAAACCCGUUCACUGCGAAAUUAUUCAGGGGACUCCAAUAAAAUUUUCCAAGCGCUGAUUCGAACUACGCUAAUCUUACUCUAUAGUAUAAAAUCAUAAGGGUGCCGUGUCACACUGAGGGUAUCACGCUGAGGGUGUCACGCUGAGGGUGUAACGCUAAUUAUGUCACAAACCGGUUUCUCCUCUACUCCCCGCUCCCCUCCCACCCCGCACGCUCACAUGCUUCCCGCCGUCCUCAAACCGGGUUUUCCCUAACUCUUAAUGAUCUUUUAACGAUCUCACGAUAUCUGCACAUUAGAGGCGCGAAGCGCCUCUGGGGGGUUGGACCGCGGAGCGGUCAGGGGGCGCAGCCCCCUAGUUUUUUUUAAAAAAAUUAAGUCCUUUCAAAAUCUGACCAGCAAAACCCUUGGAUGUCCAUUGCAAUGGACAAAGGAAGUCA
rnacentral:lncRNA from 1 species